rnacentral:rRNA from 1 species
AGCGGCGAACGAGUGAGUAACGCGUAAGAAUCUACCCUUCAGUGAGGAAUAUCCUUGAGAAAUCGGGGUUAAUACUGCAUACGUCCCUUCGGGGAGAAAGAUGGCCUCUUUGCUGUCGUUGAGGGAUGAGCUUGCGUACUAUUAGCUAGUUGGUGAGGUAAUGGCUCACCAAGGCGAUGAUGGUUAGCCGGCCUGAGAGGGUGUACGGCCACGCUGGAACUUAGACACGGUCCAGACUCCUACGGGAGGCAGCAGUGAGGAAUCUUGCGCAAUGGGCGAAAGCCUGACGCAGCGACGCCGCGUGGAGGAUGAAGGUCUUUGGAUUGUAAACUCCUGUUAAGUGGGAAGAAAAAGCAUUUUUUAAUAGAAAAUGAAAAUGACGGUACCAUUAGAGAAAGCACCGGCUAAUCUCGUGCCAGCAGCCGCGGUAAUACGAGAGGUGCGAGCGUUAUUCGGAAUUAUUGGGCGUAAAGGGUGCGUAGGCGGCAUUUUAAGUCAACUGUAAAAUCUCUCAGCCUAACUGGGAGCUCGCAGUAGAAACUGAUUUGCUAGAGGUUGGAAGAGAGAAGUGGAAUUCUCGGAGUAGCGGUAAAAUGCGUAGAUCUCGAGAGGAACACCGAUGGCGAAGGCAGCUUCUUGGUCCAAAUCUGACGCUAAGGCACGAAAGCGUGGGGAGCAAACAGGAUUAGAUACCCUGGUAGUCCACGCUGUAAACGAUGAUCACUAGA